CGACAUAAUGGGCACCUUCGGGGAAACCAAAGUUUUUGGGUUCCGGGGGAAGUAUGGUUGCAAAGCUGGAACUUAAAGGAAUUGACGGAAGGGCACCACCAGGAGUGGAGCCUGUGGCUUAAUUUGACUCAACGCGGGGAAGCUCACGAGGCCCGGACACUGGAAGGAUUGACAGAUUGAGAGCUCUUUCUUGAUUCGGUGGGUGGUGGUGCAUGGCCGUUCUUAGUUGGUGGAGUGAUUUGUCUGGUUAAUUCCGAUAACGAACGAGACUCUGGCUUACUAAAUAGGCGGCGGAUCUUUGUAUCCGCUAUGUCUUCUUAGAGGGAUAAGGCAGCUCUAAGCUGCAUGAGAAGGGGCAAUAACAGGUCUGUGAUGCCCUUAGAUGUUCUCGGCCGCACACGCGCUACACUGAAAGAGGCAACGUGUUUGCCUGAUUCGAAAGAAUUGGGUAACCCCCUAAUCUCUUUCGUGCUGGGGAUUGAGGUUUGCAAUUAUCCUUCAUGAACGAGGAAUUCCCAGUAAGUGCGAGUCAUUAUCUCGCGCUGACUACGUCCCUGCCCUUUGUACACACCGCCCGUCGCUACUACCGAUUGAAUGAUUUAGUGAGGACUUCGGACUGAGUCCAAUGCGGCUUUCGGG
rnacentral:rRNA from 1 species